rnacentral:lncRNA from 1 species
UUAUAAAUAUCAUUAUCUAUAAGUCUAAAGUCAAGCAUACCUAUUAACCAUACAUCACAAUGUUUCAUCCAUACCAUAUGUUAAGGUGAUAAUCAUCACCAAACACAUCAAAAUGUAAAUUAAAAAUCCCAACAUAUUUGAUUACAUUGUACUUUAAAAAUAUUAAAAACAUACAUAUCAAACUCCUAAAUAAACAGUCUACGAGGUCUUAAGGGUCGACGGCAUCA